GCUGGCGUGGCUCAAUUUGGCAGAGCACUUGAUUUGUAAUCAAGGGGUUGCAGGUUCAAUUCCUGUCGCCAGCA
rnacentral:tRNA from 1 species